UACAGAGGGUGCGAGCGUUGUCCGGAAUCACUGGGCGUAAAGGGCGCGUAGGUGGCGACCCAAGUCGAUGGUGAAAGCUCGCCGCUCAACGGCGAGUCGGCCACCGAUACUGGGUUGCUGGAGCACUGUAGAGGCUCAUGGAAUUCCGGGUGUAGCGGUGGAAUGCGUAGAGAUCCGGAAGAACACCGGUGGCGAAGGCGGUGAGCUGGGCGAGU
rnacentral:rRNA from 1 species